rnacentral:rRNA from 1 species
ANUCCUAUGGGGGGUAGCAGUGAGGAAUAUUGCGCAAUGGGGGAAACCCUGACGCAGCGACGCCGCGUGGGUGAGGAAGGCUUUCGGGUCGUAAAGCCCUGUCAGAAGGGAAGAAAUGUGUAAUGGUUAAUACCCAUUGCACUUGACGGUACCUUCAAAGGAAGCACCGGCUAACUCCGUGCCAGCAGCCGCGGUAAUACGGAGGGUGCAAGCGUUGUUCGGAAUCACUGGGCGUAAAGGGCGCGCAGGCGGUUUGAUUAGUCAGAUGUGAAAGCCCACGGCUUAACCGUGGAAGUGCAUUUGAAACUGUCAGACUUGAGUACCAGAGGGGGUAGUGGAAUUCCCGGUGUAGAGGUGAAAUUCGUAGAUAUCGGGAGGAAUACCGGUGGCGAAGGCGACUACCUGGCUGGAUACUGACGCUGAGGCGCGAAAGCGUGGGGAGCAAACAGGAUUAGAUACCCUGGUAGUCCACGCCGUAAACGAUGUGAACUAGGUGUAGGGGGUGUUGAUCCCCUCUGUGCCGCAGCUAACGCAUUAAGUUCACCGCCUGGGGAGUACGGUCGCAAGAUUAAAACUCAAAUGAAUUGACGGA